ACGUAGGGUGCGAGCGUUAAUCGGAAUUACUGGGCGUAAAGCGUGCGCAGGCGGUUUUGUAAGACAGGCGUGAAAUCCCCGAGCUCAACUUGGGAAUGGCGCUUGUGACUGCAAGGCUAGAGUAUGUCAGAGGGGGGUAGAAUUCCACGUGUAGCAGUGAAAUGCGUAGAGAUGUGGAGGAACACCAGUGGCGAAGGCGACUUUCUGGUCUGUAACUGACGCUGAGGCGCGAAAGCGUGGGGAGCAAACAGGA
rnacentral:rRNA from 1 species